UACGGAGGGGGCUAGCGUUAUUCGGAAUUAUUGGGCGUAAAGGGCGUGUAGGCGGCUGCGUAAGUCUCGUGUGAAAGCCCUCGGCUUAACCGGGGAACUGCACGAGAAACUGCGUAGCUCGAGUCCGGGAGAGGAUAGUGGAAUUCCCAGUGUAGCGGUGAAAUGCGUAGAUAUUGGGAGGAACACCAGUGGCGAAGGCGGCUAUCUGGACCGGUACUGACGCUGAGACGCGAAAGCCAGGGGAGCAAACGGG
rnacentral:rRNA from 1 species